UUUCCGUAGGUGAACCUGCGGAAGGAUCAUUAAAGUUAUAGUCCCCUGGCCCUCUGGGCUGGGGUCUUCUAUACCACCCUUUGUUUAUUACACCUUUUUUGCUUUGGCAGGCCUGCCCUCGGGCUGCUGGCUCCGGCCGGCGAGCGCCUGCCAGAGGCCCUAAACUCUGUUUGUCUAUAAUGUCUGAGUACUAUAUAAUAGUUAAAACUUUCAACAACGGAUCUCUUGGUUCUG
rnacentral:misc_RNA from 1 species